GACGAACGCUGGCGGCGUGCUUAACACAUGCAAGUCGAACGGAAAGGCCCUGCUUUUGUGGGGUGCUCGAGUGGCGAACGGGUGAGUAACACGUGAGUAACCUGCCCUUGACUUUGGGAUAACUUCAGGAAACUGGGGCUAAUACCGGAUAGGAGCUCCUGCUGCAUGGUGGGGGUUGGAAAGUUUCGGCGGUUGGGGAUGUGCUAGCGGCUUAUCAGCUUGUUGGUGGGGUAGUGGCUUACCAAGGCUUUGACGGGUAGCCGGCCUGAGAGGUUGACCGGCCACAGUGGGACAGAGAUACGGCCCAGACUCCUACGGGAGGCAGCAGUGGGGAAUAUUACACAAUGGGCGGAAGCCUGAUGCAGCAACGCCGCGUGCGGGAUGACGGCCUUCGGGUUGUAAACCGCUUUCGCCUGUGACGAAGCGUGAGUGACGGUAAUGGGUAAAGAAGCACCGGCUAACUACGUG
rnacentral:rRNA from 1 species